rnacentral:rRNA from 1 species
CGCGUCAGAAUGUGAACUGCAGGACACAUGAACACCGACAAGUUGAACGCAUAUUGCACAUCGUACAUCAGUACGAUGUACACAUUUUUGAGUGCCUAUAUUUACUGAUUCAACUAUACGUGCGUAUCUGCGCUCGUAUGCGGAGUGACGUUUUCUCGACUCGGCUCGAUAAAACGUUUAAGAUAGUCAAAUGCGGCGUCUCUCGGGCGCCGUGGUUGAUGAGUACACCCCACAACCCACCACCCCUAGCGCGGUGUUGUUUGUGCUACAUCACACACCAAAGACUCAAUCACACACUCUAUAUCAGUAGGCCUCAAAUAAUGUGUGAC